GGGACGAUUCUUGCUUCGAACCUCAGAGUUCAGCAGUCAGGCCGUGUGGUGUGUGCAAGGGGGCCUGCCUGUGUGUUCAGGGGCCAGAGGUUUGGGCCCUGAGCUCCCCCUCCUCAGCUGCAGCCUACAGGGCUGCGAGCGAGGCCCCGGAGGUUACUUCUGUUGCUGCAGUCUGCACGCUCACCCUGCUCAGGGAACACUGUCAGGGCGAUGAGGCAGCCGUCCACAGGGCCCUUCGGUGGGAAGGAAGCUUCGUGCACCACGGGUCCCAAUCUCUCGGAGAGGGAAUUCGCCAGAUGUCUCUUUACUGCCGUGUACAAUGCCCCUCAGUUCACAGAGAUCCAUCAAGCGCAGUCCGGCACCCCAACACAAGACUGCGACACGCCUCCGGCGGGAGCAGAUCCUCACCACUUUCAUGUGUCCUCUUUUGGGGCAAACAGCUGUGCGAUGCUACUUUUAUUCCUGGGCACGGUGGUGCCGGGCCUGGUGUCCCCAUUCAAGUCUCCCACAGCCACUAUUGUUUCGGGGCGUGUUUCUCUCGCCCUUUUUGUACGUUGUCUUCCUUGACAGAUAUUUGUCUUUACUGCAAUAAAUUGUGCUUUUCCCACCAUUUUUUACCUUUUUGAGUCGUCUUCUCUCUGGAUUCUUCCUGUGACUACAGCUUCCACCCACAAAGGCACAGGGUUCACCGUCCUUCACCUCCGAGUGGAGCUUUCAAAUUCACCUUUUAUUUUCUACCAGCAGCAGAAAAAGAAACAUUUGCUUCAAAACGUAUUGUUAGAAUCUUUCUGGAACUUAGGAUACGUGAGAAGGGUAGAAAGGGAAGGAGGCUCUGCUGUAGAUACAUUUUCUGGAAGUCCUGUUUCAGAUCCCCGUCUAGCUGGCCCCAGAACUCACCGUCUUUCCCUGAUGUUUAACUACGGACAGCAUCAUUCCUUCAUCCCUUCAGUAAGUGUUAAUGAGCUUCUGGGCCCUGGAUCUACUGGAUGAGGCACAUGUGAUCCCUGCUGACAAGGGGCUGACAGAUAUGCACCUUAACUCUCUACGGCUAGUAUCCUGUUUUUCUCCAUCCUGACUGCCCUCAGGGUGGACAGCUGGGGAAGGCUACAGCGGCUGCUGUCUCGAUGGCCGCAGCAUCCUUUAUGUACUGAUAUGGGAGACGACAUUUUUCGUCCACCACCGUCAAUUGUGGUCCUUCUGAGAAGAGCAGAGGACAAAGGGACAACUGGUCUCCUUCUGAGCAGAGAAGAGGACAAAGGGAGACACGCAGAGAAGACGGCCAUGCGGGGACACAGGCAGAGACUGAGUGAUGCUGCCAUGAGCUGGGGAACACCCGGAGCCCCCAGCCGCUGGGAGACCCAGGAAGGAGCCUCCCUCAGCGCCUUUAGAGAGAGCGUGCGUGGCCCUGCCUUGAUUUUGGACUUCUGGCCUCUAGAACCGUGAGAGAAAAUCACUGUGGUUUUAAUCCAUCCGGUUCGUGGUACUUCGGGACAACAGGCACAGGAAGCUGGCACACACGGUCCCCUCCCCCCACGGGGAUGAUGAGACGGCAAAGUGAGACGGUAGGUCUGGCUCGGUGCCUGGACCAGAUAUUAUUCUUUAUCUUCCCUCCCCUCCCCUCCCAAUCAGUGCUUUCCCCCUUCCGGGGGCUUUAUGCAGGACCCCUCAAGACCCAGGCUGGGGGCCGCUCUCUGGUAUUUGCCACGGGGACCUCGCUCCCUCAGACUCCCCUGCAGCCAGUCUUCCCCCGACCCUCUGAGCCAGGAAGGAGAACACUGUUUGCAGUUCUUGAGUAUUUUAACGUUCUAUUAUAAAAAAAUCUGGGAGGAGGGUGACAAGCCAUGCUGACUCUGUGGGCUGAACUGGGUGUACAGAGAUUCAUAGGGUGAUGGAUUCCGCCCCAAGACUAGCGGGCGGUUUAAAACAACACACCACAGGCACCUUGACCCCAGCCUCUGUCCUGCUGAUGUGACACAGUGACAUGGCUCCAAGGGAGGCCAGAAGUCACCCUGGAGGUCGGCACAAUCUUUCCUGCCACCUUUUAUCACAGGAUGGCCUGGGGUUCCCAUCCCCGGUUGGACAAUGGGACAUUUUAAAAACUGUGGACUCCUGAGUCCCACCACACCAAGUGAAUCAGAAUCUUCUAGAAGGGGCCUUUCAAAUGCUUUCUGGGGUGUUUGAGAGCUACUGGAGCGGCCUAGGUGAAGUUCACAAUGAAAUCAGCGCACAGGAGCUCUCUAGAGCGGCCGCGGCCAAGGGCCCCGACAUGGAUGGGUUGGUUAAUGUCCCGACGUGCCAAGGGGCAUCCACGUGCCCGCGUUUCCGCCGCCCGGGGGACCCUGGUUCAGCGGGGGCUCCAGCACGGGGAGUGCAAUGCUUCCCACAUGGCGGGGCAGACGCUGACUAAUGUCAAAAUAGAGACAGGGGCUGCAGGCCUGCCUGGUCACUUCCUAAUCUGCUGGUCAUCUGUGAGCCCGCAGGGCAGGCAGGAGACUUCCACUGGGAAAAGUUCUCUGGCAGACUUGAGCCUUGUAGAAACCUUCGAGUGAAAAAUGAAUGUAGACGGGGAUCUGAGCAGUUUCAGAUCAAAGUCUGCCCAAUUUUUUUCAGAUAGUCGCAAGGUUUUAAACACAGAAUAAUUUCGGCUCAGUGGCCUGGGAUCAUCAGAGCCUAGAAGAAGGAGACUCCAGGUCAGAAUAACAUGGAGUCCACCGCUGGUGACUUGGUGAGGAGUCACAGGGAGGGCCUGCAUGUGUACACACGUGCAUAUGCACGUGUGCGUGUGUGAGUGUGUGUGAUGGCUACAUUAUCGAUCUCGUGUAACCACACACAUUUAUCCUUCUCAUGUGAUGGCUCAUUCUUUCUCAACAAAUCCUUUUGUAAACCCCAGAAAAUCCUGCCUUUAAAAAGGGCCUCCAGAAAGCAUUUUCCGGGAGUGUGUUUGGAGAAGAUUCUCAGGCCGUGCAAAACGCUGUCUGUAAGAUGUUCCUUUAUGACAUGAGCCACUGGGCACACCAGCCCUCUGCUCCGGGGCCUCCUCCAGGGCCUGAAUCAGAAGCACAGACUCGGCCCAGGAAAGCAUCUUCUCCGCGAAGGGAGCGGAAUGAGAGGAGGAAGUGUGUCAGGAGGGCAGCGUUCCCCUGGCCCCAGGCCCCAGGCCCAGAGUUUGACAGGCCGCCGAGUCUGUCUCAGCUGCAUCCUUUCCACUGAGGAAGCACGGAGACUAGCUCUUUCUCUAGGAGCAAUCGUGACGCGUGUGGGCCAGUGAUCCGGUCUCAGCACGGGGGACAGUGCCCGUCUUAGCUGAGGCCCUGUCCAUCCAUCAUCGCAUCCGCAGUGCAUCCUGGAGCCCCGCAUCCUUGGUGUCCACCGUCCUCGCGGUCCCUCCCCUGGAGCGCUCCACCUCUUCUCCCCACCGGGCCGUGUACAUUCCUUCUCUCUCCAUCUCCUUUGUGAGGUCCCCUCUCCUCCUCGCCCCUGGUGGCUCCAUCCUUCCCCUCUUCCCUUCUCCCCUGCCCUCGCUGCCACAGCCUCCGUGCUCACAGACAGGCCGAGCCCACUCUUGCCGUCGAGGAUGCCCUGUCCCCUGAGCUCCAUCCCACGUUGUCCCGACGAUGUCUUCGCUGGCAAGACCCACAGGCGCCUCAAACCCAACUUUUCCAACGUGAGACACCUGUCGCGAAGCCAGAGGCCCUGGGAGUGAUGUGGACAGAAUCCUUUCCAGCUGCACCUCCUUCCCUCCUCGCCAGGCCCAGUGUCCGCCCCUCCAGCGGGGUUCUCAGAUUCACAGCGCACCCUCCUUUUUCACCUUCUUAAAGCCGAUUGCGGGGUCCCCUUCUCAGCAUGUGUUUUAGUUGCACCAAAUGUGCAAGGUCAUUCCCGAGCCCAGUUCUCCAGCGCACCCUCUAAUCAUCCUUCAAAACCCUGUGCAAAUGGACUUUGGAGAGCUUUCCUGAGGCCCUAGUAGAACCCAUCGCUCCCUCCACUCCCAGCUUGAGCUUCUAUCACAGCAGCUGCCCCUGGGCCAGCAUCGUCUCUCUCCCUGCGUUUCUCCUCCCUAAGGCUGCGUGUACCUCCCGCAAAGACACUUUUCACUUGUCUGCUUGUGCGUGGCCUCUCCCCGCUGUCUCACUCUAGCACCAGGAACGUCCAGCCAGCCCGGCUUGGUAGCCACCUGGACAACGUUGCUGAAACCAAACCAAUGGCUACAAGACAGGGCUUCAAGCCAGGGACGAGGAGGAUUCUUCUCAGAGCCAAAAGUUGUUUUCCACCCCGAAGUGGGGACGGCCGCCCCGGUUACUCUUGCAGUACCGUUGUAUUUUCUUUUCUCUCUUUCUUCAAUUUUACUGUUUCCUUUCUCUCCAUCUGAGUCGCAGGCAAAAGGGGAAAAAGUCAUGGUCGGUGUGGUGCCUGGGUGGUUGGAACAUGAGAAGGAGGAAGAGAAUGGUUGAUGUUCUUGUCUUCUUACCUUGUUAAGUUAAAAAAAAUUGAGCUACAAUUCACAUACUAUAAAAUUUACCCUUUCAAAACAUACCAUUCGGUGUUUUCUUUUUUUUUUUAAAUAUUCACAGAGUUGUGCGAAUAUCACCACUCUGAUUCCAGAACAUUCUCAUCACGCCAAAAAAGAAAGCCAUUAGCAAUCACUCUUCAAUUACUUCUCUUUCACUCUAACUUCUAAUUAUAGCAUCUUUAAAAUUUUGGGGGGUUGAGAUGGCAUAAAAUUAAAAAGAAAUUUUACUUCUAGUGACUUUUAAAUUACACGGAGAAGCCCAGGUUCACAGACUUACCACUUCCAUGGUUAAGCUUCUGUAACUAGGGGUGUACAUCGCAUGAGUUAAUGUUCGGAGUGUUCAGAACAGUACCUGGCACAGAGUAAACAUGUACUAUAAACAUGUUUGCUAACCGACUAAAUAAAUGGCAGUGUUAUUGGAGGAGGUAGGAUUUCACAGUUGAUUCCAGACACACAGAAUUUUUCUCUAAAAAGAGCUAACGGAAAAUCCCAUCUGUUCAACUGAGGUCAAGCACCAGAUUUGAAACACAAGGAUGUCCUUAACAAGGAGAUGAUUCCUAUUAAAUACUGAAAAAUAUUCCUAACUUCCCUCCAGAGAGAAGCCAUGGAAAAAGACCAGUUUCCAGAAAAAUGCAGUCAAAUAAAAGUGGAGUUACAACGUUUUGCUGUAAUAAUUUCAAGUAAUUCUUUACAUUUGUUAUUAAUUGUAUUCCCAUCGGACGCCUCAGUAUAGAUGGUGUUUGUUUCCCUAUCGGAGGCAAUAUUCAUGAGGAACUCUGGACCCGCUGGGCAGUCCUGCAGUGGCAGGGAUGCCCCACCCUCCCCUCUUCCGGAUGGAGAAGUUAUAACCCUGCAGGCAUUUCAUAAAAAGUAUUUAGAAUAAAUUUUAAAAAUAAUAAACUCUAAUUUGGCUUUUGGCAUUCACUUCUUGAUUGCUAACAUGCUGCAUUUUGUAAGAAGAGCUCGCUUUACAGACACGAGGGACAUUAGCAAGAGACAGACCGUCAGGUGCUGUUGGAAAGCGAUGCCGUGUUCAGAGGGCAGGGUGGUCUGGCAGAGUCAGUGUUGGGAAGGGGAACACGUACAAUAGGAGGCUCUGGACCCAGGUGGGAAUCUGGGCCAGUAGGUGGAGAGGCUGAGGCUUCCUGGAGGAGAGCCAGCAG